AUUGAACGCUGGCGGCAGGCCUAACACAUGCAAGUCGAGCGGAUGAAGGGAGCUUGCUCCUGGAUUCAGCGGCGGACGGGUGAGUAAUGCCUAGGAAUCUGCCUCGUAGUGGGGGAUAACGUCCGGAAACGGGCGCUAAUACCGCAUACGUCCUGAGGGAGAAAGUGGGGGAUCUUCGGACCUCACGCUAUCAGAUGAGCCUAGGUCGGAUUAGCUAGUUGGUGGGGUAAAGGCCUACCAAGGCGACGAUCCGUAACUGGUCUGAGAGGAUGAUCAGUCACACUGGAACUGAGACACGGUCCAGACUCCUACGGGAGGCAGCAGUGGGGAAUAUUGGACAAUGGGCGAAAGCCUGAUCCAGCCAUGCCGCGUGUGUGAAGAAGGUCUUCGGAUUGUAAAGCACUUUAAGUUGGGAGGAAGGGCAGUAAGUUAAUACCUUGCUGUUUUGACGUUACCAACAGAGUAAGCACCGGCUAACUUCGUG
rnacentral:rRNA from 1 species